ACACGAACCACAGAAAAUAAUAGGCCUUUGUUCGUUUUCACUUUAUUGUUUCAGAGCAAUCAGCGUUAUUUUAAAAUAUACAACAUAAUAUAAAAACUAUUUUAAUUAUAUAUUUUAUAAAUGCAUUACUUUUUAAACGACAUCCAUGUCAGGCCCAGACAAUGACUAAAGUCGUUCAUGCAUACCCUUACCAAAAAGUAGUAUACUUCAAGUUUAUUUUAUUAAGUAUACUUAAGUAAAGUUCAAGUAUAUUUAGACGUUUUGUAAGUAUAAGUCAAGUAUACUUAAAUGUCAUUUUAAGUAUAUUUCUGAGAAGUACAUAAAGCCCAUUUCUGAGAAGUACAUAAAAAGUAAACUAAAAGCAUACUUUCCUAUUUUUAGUUUAAAAGAAGUAUACUAAUAGCACACUUGAAUAAACUUCUUUUUCGUAAGGGUAGCCUUAAUGCUAAUAGUGAAGAUUGUUUUUUAAAGAUAGCCUAGGCCUAUUUCCUAUAUGUAUUUUUGGUCUUAUCAAUACUAGCUCUAUUCAAGACCUUACAAAGCCUGGUGUACCAAAUCAUUAAUAGACAAAGAAUACACAGUGCUUACAUAUAGAUAUUCCACUGUCUGCGCACAUCUGCACACUGUCUGUAUAUCAGUUGUGUUGGCUCAUAUGUAGGCUAGAUGAUGUAAUUUAAUAACACCGGCAUGGUAAAUCAUGCUAAUCUGUCUUUUGUUUUUCUGUGGUGCUUGCUAAAGGAUUUAAAUGAUCAUAACUGGCCUUUGUAUCCCAUAGUUCACUCCUUACAUGGGACUCUCAUGUGAAGUUCCUCACGGUCUGUUGUCAGGCAGGGUGAAGCUAUCUGAAACAGGAGAAGAUCUGCCCAACAGCCACAGCCAAGGACUGAGAUCUAAAUAUCUAGGGCAAGUUCUACAAACACUCAUUCAAUUGUGUCCUCCCAUCAGCGGUUAAUAAGCGAUGAAGUUAUGGAAGUCAUAUGCCUCUGCAGUCACAUGGAAGGAGGGGAAGAAGAGGGUUCUUAUUUUCACGUCUGCAUGUCUGCUUGUUUACUUCCUCCGAGAGCAUCUUGAAAUUGUAGACAAUGCUCUAACUUGUUGGACUAUUUAACUCCUGGCGCAUGGGAAUUUCUUUAUCUAUCGCCAUGAAGUGCAUCUGGUUGCUGGAAGCUGAAAAACAAAACAACUGUAACUUCAAUCCUUCUGUACUGUAGGUCAAGGGAAAACAUAAAACUAAUGAUGGAAAGGAAUAUAUCAACAUGCUUAAUCUUAUAAAUCAUGACACCUUCACAUUUCUACUUGGAUGGAUAUGGAUAUUUGUUAAUCAAUUUAAGAUUGUUUGCAUGCAGUCCAAAACUAUUGUCAUCUUUCUGCAGUGUAUUAAAAUGUGUUUUUGAGGGCUUCUGUACAAGUUCCCAGAACAACACAAGACAAAGGUAACAUGUAAACAUGAUCAUGAAUUCUGAGUACAAUUGUGCAAUUGUCCCAAACACCUGGACU
ensembl:lncRNA